UGGAGAGUAGCGCUAGUGGUAGCAAACCGGACUUGAAAUCCGGGCCAUCGGAAACGGUGAGGGUUCAACUCCUUUACUCUCCGCCAA
rnacentral:tRNA from 4 species